CCCAUGUGGUGCCUCUGGGCGGCUGCAGGUGUGUCGCGGAGCGGUUCCAGGAAAAGACAUUUGGGGCUGGGAUUGUGGCUCAGUGGUAGAGUGCUUGCCUAGCAUGCGCCAGGCCCUAGGUUCGAUCCUCAGCACCACAUAAAAAUAAAGCUUCCAGACUCCUCUGAUACAGCAUGAAACCUAUCCUGGUCGAAGUUCAAUGCAUGCCACCUAACGUGCGGACCAAUGUCCAUUCUGACCCAGACCGCCGAUAUGCCUUGCCUAAAUACCUGCAGCCUGAACACAUUCAUUCAAAAAGAAAUUAGCGCCUGGAUGUGGCGGUGCAUGCCUGAAAUCCCAGCUGCUCAGGAGGCUGAGGCAGGAGGAUCGUGAGUUGGAGGCCAGCCUCAGCAACUGCAGAAGGCCAGAUGCAGGACGAUGGCCACGUGCAUCUUAAUUUGAGCCACCAGAAACCAGUCUGCAGCCAAGAGGGACAGGAUUAGCUUUACCUUUAUAAGGCCGAUUUGGCCACUGUGGAGGGACAGAGGAGACAGAGAGGCCACCAAGGGGCCACGGAGGUCUUAAGGUGAGAAGCGUGGGGUUGACUGGGAGGAGCUCUUCCUGCCCUGCGCGACAGGCACUUGAGGGGCAGGAUGGCAGCACCAUCCUCUGCUCUCAUAUCCUGUUGCUCCAGACCCCUCACCCACCAGAGUCCCCCUCCCUUCUGUGAUAAUUUCCGGAAGCUUCUCCUAGGGUGACAGGGAGGGGCUCCCACCCCUUCCCACUUCUUGUCUUCCCAUCUUCUAAACAACUUCCUGGCCCCCUCAAGCCUUCUCCCUAAAUCAGUCAAGACAACCCGGUGCAGGUGUGCACAGCACUUUACAGUUGGCACGCCCACCUCCUCCAGCCUCCCCCACCUGCCUCCAGUCCCCACUCAGUGAAUCCCAUCGGGGGUUCAUUCACUGAUUGGGUUGAGGCUCUCAUAACCCCAUCAUUUCUCCUGCAAACCCUCUUGCAUCAUCUCACACGUGAGCUUUUGGGGGACACCUCCCAUCCAGACCGUAACACCCACAAUCCUGUUUACUGCUAGCCCCAAGAGACAUUUGUGGCACUGCAAUUUCCAAGGUGUCCACAGAGACAUCUCCCCCUCCACGUUCUCUUCAUUCAAGGUGACACUGAUUGCUCUCCCUGGAGAGGUGGGGUCUCUGCUUCCUUCCCUAGAAUCAGAGUGGCCAUGUGACUGUGGCACAAGGAGUGCUAUGUGACUUUCGAGCCUCAAUCACCCAACACGCACAGCCUCCACCUGUUUCUCUGGGGACACUCGCUCUUGGAGCUCAGCCUCCAUGCUGUGAGGAAGCUCAAGUGCCACAGCUAGGACAAGUGUCCCUUUAAAAAGGACCUAAGGUUUGGCCACCAGCCUGUGCUGCUACUGGGAGGUGGUGAAUCCUUUGGAAAGUGGGACUAAUGGAAAGAAGCGAGGUCAUUGGGGACAUGUCCUUGAAAGAGAUGUUGGGUUCCUUGUCCCUUCCUGUCUCUUUCACUUCUCGGCCACCAUGAGGUGGGCAGACAUUUCUCCAGUGAGCUCUUGCCAUUAUUAUCACCAUAGGCCCAAAGAGAUGGGACCAAUCAAUCCUGGAUGCAAACCUCUGAAGCUGUGAGCAAAAACAAACCUUUCCUCUUUUUAAGUUGAUUAUCUCAGGUAUUUUAUUACAGUAGCAGAAAGCUGACUAAUAGAUUAUUAGUCCAUAUGGAUAGAUCAUGGGUGGGUUUUCCAGUCAACACCUUCACCUGUAGUCUCAGGUGUCUACCAGGUAUGUGAGUAAAGAAGCCUUUGAACUAAAGCUUUUGGGUUGCAACAUGAGAAGUGAUCCUGAACAAGAAUCACCUUGCCAAACCCACUCAACCAAAUCCACUCGGGAGAUAACAGUAAAGUGACCAUUGCUGCUUCUAUACAGUCUAAUAAUAACAAUCUUGUCCAGAGGAAGAAACAGUGUCCAUAGUGAUAAGUGCGGUGCAGAAAAAUAAAACCAAACAAGGGAUGGGGAGGCACUGGUAUUUCCGUUCAGGGGGUCAAAGGAGGCAUCUCUGGUGGUGAUAUUGAGGAUGAAUGCAAACUCAGUUCCCAGAUUUCCAAUAGAGCUGACCUUGAGGCUCAUUGGAUGGACUUGAGUCAUGUGCCUAUCCCUGAGCCAAUCAGCGUAUGUGUGGCUAAAGUGGAGCAUUCUGAUUGGUCAGACCUGGACCCACCCCAGAACCAGGAGGCGGGAGAACUCAGGCUCGGGGUUCUUCU